rnacentral:tRNA from 5 species
CGGGACGUAGCACAGCUUGGUAGUGCACUACCUUGGGGUGGUAGGGGUCGCGCGUUCAAAUCGCGUCGUUCCGACCA